UACGUAGGGGGCAAGCGUUGUCCGGAAUCAUUGGGCGUAAAGAGCGUGUAGGCGGCUCGGUAAGUCCGCUGUGAAAGUCCAGGGCUUAACCCUGGAAUUGCCUUUAAGACUGCAUCGCUAGAAUCGUGGAGAGGUGAGUGGAAUUCCGAGUGUAGAGGUGAAAUUCGUAGAUAUUCGGAAGAACAUCAGUGGCGAAGGCGACUCACUGGACACGUAUUGACGCUGAGGUGCGAAAGCGUGGGGAGCAAACAGG
rnacentral:rRNA from 1 species